AUUGAACGCUGGCGGCAGGCUUAACACAUGCAAGUCGAACGGUAACAGGGGGUAGCUUGCUACUUUGCUGACGAGUGGCGGACGGGUGAGUAAGGUAUGGGAAUUUGCCGAAUGGAGGGGGACAACAGUUGGAAACGGCUGCUAAUACCGCGAUAACGUCGCGAGACCAAAGGGUGGGACUUUCGGGCCACCUACCAUUUGAUGAGCCCAUAUGAGAUUAAGCUAGUUGGUGUGGUAAG
rnacentral:rRNA from 1 species